AGCUCCAAUAGCGUAUAUUAAAGUUGUUGCAGUUAAAAAGCUCGUAGUUGGAUAUCUGGUGAGGUGGUCUGUUCUGCAGCUAACGCUGCGGAGACGUGUACCUAACUUUACCAUUUUUGGGUGGAUGCGUGCUGGCAUUAGGUUGUCGGUGCGUGGAAACCCAUCGUUUACUGUGAAAAAAUUAGAGUGUUCAAAGCAGGCUUACGCCGUUGGAUACAUUAGCAUGGAAUAAUAAGAUAGGGCCUUGUGCGUCUGAUUUGUUGGUUUGCACGCCAGGGUAAUGAUUAACAGGGAUAGUUGGGGGUAUUCGUAUUCAAUUGUCAGAGGUGAAAUUCUUGGAUUUCUGGAAGACGAACUACUGCGAAAGCAUUUACCAAGGAUGUUUUCAUUAAUCAAGAAC
rnacentral:rRNA from 1 species